AAAAUUGUCCCGAGCACGUCAUCCCCAACCUCUCGACCUUAUCCUCCCACCGCGCCGCGACGCCUGCCCGACCUUGCACAGCGCCGCCCCCAUCUUGCCCGACCUUCCACCGCGCCAACCCACCCAGCCUCCCACCGCGCCGCGCCGCCCGCCCCACCAGGCCUCCCACCGCGCCGCGCCGCCCCGCCCGGCCUCCCAGCGCGCCGCCCCGCCCGCCCGGCCUCCCAUCGCGCGGCGCCGCCCCGCACGGCCUUCCUCCGCGCCACCCGGCCUCCCACCGCGUAGCGUCGGCCCGCCCGACCUCCCACCGCAACGCACCCUCCCGCUACAGGUCUCACCCUCCCUCGGCUGCAGGUCGCGGCCCCCCGCGGCUGCAGGUCGCGGAUUCGACCUCGUCGCUGCACAUAGGGACCGUGGCCUCCCCCGCGUGUGGUCGCCUCCGUCCUGCUUCGGCCCGUUUCCGGCCGUGCAUAGACUGAUUGAACUGACGGGCUUGAUCCCCUUCGACAGUUGCAGCUUCACCAAUGUUGCCGUUCAACAACGCAGCGAUCUGAGGGGAGAAGACAAACUAAAUGAUUCAGUUCAUCAUUGGCAUCCUUGUGAACAGUUCUGAAGAUAGCUUUCAGAGACUAAUUACGUGAUAUUUCUCUCAAACUUUUUCUACAAAUAGCCUGGGACUUCCACUGACUGUGCCACUGCUUCAGCAUCCACCAUCAGUGGCAUUGGCCGCCCUCUGAGCCAAAUCUUGGCGCUCCCAGCCGCUGCUCCUGGACCCCGCCUCCAUCAGCUCCACUUCACCAGAGCCGCCAGUCCGCAUGAGUAGGGGUAGCGUAUCCCCCUACAGCGGUCAAAUCCCGGUGCACCCAGCCGGUUCUCUUGAACCCCGCCUCCAUCAGCUCCACUUCACUGGAGCCGUCAGUCCGCAGGAGUAGGGGUAGCAGGUUCACCCAACGUCCGACGCCUUCUUCCAUCUCCAAAAAUCUUGUUUUUGAGUUCAGUUCUUCAUCACAUGUUUCACUAGCUGGAAUUGCUUGACGAACAGAGCAAAGGGCCCAAACCCACUAUCGUGCAAGAAAAAGAAAUCAAAGCCCCAACCAUCAGCUGCUCAAAUCAUUAGGAAAAAACAUUUUCAGGUUAUUGGUGCCGCUGGAUAACUGUCAUAGUUUGUCGCCAGCAAAGUCCUCGAACUUGGUCUACACCAGUAGUAGAACUUACUGGUUCUCCGUGACCUAAAGUUGAAAACAGACAAAAAUUCUCAAGAAUUGAGGCUUCGCCAAGGAACAAGACUGGUAACUAGCGCAAAGGAGACUAUGUCGAGAGGUGGCACUGCUAGACUUGCUGAUGUGUAGUUAUGGCAUAAAAAAGAUGAAAAAAAUUUUUCUUGUAUGAUUCCAUAAGCUGUACAUAGCAAAUCUUCCCAUGUGGAUCAGUACAACUUAUGUACGGCCUUGAGUUCACAAAUCUUAUAGUAAUCUUUGUAGUACUUUUCGUAACACUAAGUAAAGCAAGAGUAGCCCUUUUUUUGUGAGCAACAAUUCAAACGAAUCUGUUGUAUCAGUUCUUAUGAUAGAUAGAAGAUAAAACAAGAAAGAGAAGCCCUUUUUUUGUAUAAGUUCUGUUGAAUCUGUUGUAUCAGCAAGAGUAGCCCUUUUUUUGUAUAA